rnacentral:rRNA from 1 species
GACGAACGCUGGCGGCGUGCUUAACACAUGCAAGUCGAACGGAAAGGCCCUGCUUUUGUGGGGUGCUCGAGUGGCGAACGGGUGAGUAACACGUGAGUAACCUGCCCUUGACUUUGGGAUAACUUCAGGAAACUGGGGCUAAUACCGGAUAGGAGCUCCUGCUGCAUGGUGGGGGUUGGAAAGUUUCGGCGGUUGGGGAUGGACUCGCGGCUUAUCAGCUUGUUGGUGGGGUAGUGGCUUACCAAGGCUUUGACGGGUAGCCGGCCUGAGAGGGUGACCGGCCACAUUGGGACUGAGAUACGGACCAGCCUCCUACGGGAGGCAGCAGUGGGGAAUAUUGCACAAUGGGCGGAAGCCUGAUGCAGCAACGCCGCGUGCGGGAUGCCGGCCUUCGGGUUGUAAACCGCUUUCGCCUGUAACGAAGCGUGAGUGACGGUAAUGGGUAAAGAAGCACCGGCUAACUACGUG